rnacentral:rRNA from 1 species
AUACGGGGGGUGCAAGCGUUAAUCGGAAUUACUGGGCGUAAAGCGCGCGUAGGCGGUUAGAUAAGUUGGAUGUGAAAUCCCCGGGCUCAACCUGGGAACUGCAUUCAAAACUGUUUAACUAGAGUAUGGUAGAGGGAAGUGGAAUUCCAGGUGUAGCGGUGAAAUGCGUAGAUAUCUGGAGGAACAUCAGUGGCGAAGGCGACUUCCUGGACCAAUACUGACGCUGAGGUGCGAAAGCGUGGGGAGCAAACAGGAUUAGAAACCCCAGUAGUCC